UCUUCAUUCAUACAAACCUUAAACAA
rnacentral:piRNA from 1 species